AGUGAACGCUGGCGGUAGGCCUAACACAUGCAAGUCGAACGGCAGCACAGUAAGAGCUUGCUCUUACGGGUGGCGAGUGGCGGACGGGUGAGGAAUACAUCGGAAUCUACUUUUUCGUGGGGGAUAACGUAGGGAAACUUACGCUAAUACCGCAUACGACCUACGGGUGAAAGCAGGGGAUCUUCGGACCUUGCGCGAUUGAAUGAGCCGAUGUCGGAUUAGCUAGUUGGGGGGGUAAAGGCCCACCAAGGCGACGAUCCGCAGCCGGUCGGGGAGGAUGGUAGCCGGCCUGAGAGGUUGACCGCGCACAAGGGGCCUGCGGGACGCAGCAGACGCGAAUGGGAGGCAGUAGUGGGGAAUCUGGCACAAUGGGAGGAAGUCGGAUGCGGCAACGUCGCGGGCGGGAAGACGGUCUGUGGGGAGUAAAACGCUGCAGGUUGUGACGAAGCGGUAGUGACGGUACUGGGUGAAGAAGCACCGGCUAACUACGUG
rnacentral:rRNA from 1 species